UUUUCCCAUUACAAAUAAUGGAAAAUUUUUUAAUCCAUUCCAAGACUAAAAAACAUGCGUUUUUUUAAGCAUUUUUUCAUUUGCGCAUUUUUGUCCGAUCGCGCAACUGCAGCGCACCGCCGAACACGCAACCGUAGCGUGCCGCCAACCGUGCAACUGCACCGCACUGGUCGCAUUAUUGUGACAGAGCCCAAUGGUUGUUGAUCU